rnacentral:rRNA from 1 species
GUGGGGAAUAUUGGGCAAUGGGCGAAAGCCUGACCCAGCAACGCCGCGUGAAGGAAGAAGGUUUUCGGAUCGUAAACUUCUAUCCUUGGUGAAGAUAAUGACGGUAGCCAAGAAGGAAGCCCCGGCUAACUACGUGCCAGCAGCCGCGGUAAUACGUAGGGGGCAAGCGUUGUCCGGAAUGAUUGGGCGUAAAGGGCGCGUAGGAGGCCCGGUAAGUCUGAAGUGAAAGUACUGCUUUUAAGGUGGGAAUUGCUUUGGAUACUGUCGGGCUUGAGUGCAGGAGAGGUAAGCGGAAUUCCCGGUGUAGCGGUGAAAUGCGUAGAGAUCGGGAGGAACACCAGUGGCGAAGGCGGCUUACUGGACUGUAACUGACGUUGAGGCUCGAAAGCGUGGGGAGCAAACAGGAUUAGAUACCCUGGUAGUCC